GUGAGCUUGACAUGUGGACCUUUUUUUUUUUACUAAAGCUUUUAAUCAUUUGAGUCCUUUUAAAGUUUUUAAGCAUUUGAGUUUGCAAGAUUUUAAACUCUAUUUAUAUCAACAGGUGGUGGCAUGAGUUCUGACCCUGGGGCAUGAGAGCAGAGUUGCCACUGCUGUUUUGCUUCGUGUUUUUAGUCAUUGUUUUUAAUGUUUAAUCAAGCUUGACACCCUUGCUUUUAUCCAUUUUUAAACUGUUUUGUGCUCAUUUUUAGUAUCUUGGUGUCUGGACCUGGCUGAAGGUGGCUGCCUCCUCCUUUUAUCCUUAUGGUAGCUGGUACUCCUGGUGAGAGUUGGAUCAGAGAUCUCCCUUGGUGGUGUUUGUGGCUACCCGCCAGUGCAGUGGGGCUGAGUCGAUCCAGGAGGCAGCCGCCCUCAUGCAGUGUUGGAGUGCGGUCCAACUGUCCGAGUCUAUUUUAACUUUCUCUUUUAUGGAAUUUGUGUCAAGUUUUUAAUAAAUUGUAUAUUCUUAACCUUUA